UACGUAGGGACCAAGCGUUGUUCGGAUUUACUGGGCGUAAAGGGCGCGUAGGCGGCGCGACAAGUCACUUGUGAAAUCUCUGAGCUUAACUCAGAACGGCCAAGUGAAACUGUUGUGCUAGAGUGCAGAAGGGGCAAUCGGAAUUCUUGGUGUAGCGGUGAAAUGCGUAGAUAUCAAGAGGAACACCUGAGGUGAAGACGGGUUGCUGGGCUGACACUGACGCUGAAGUGCGAAAGCUAGGGGAGCGAACGGG
rnacentral:rRNA from 1 species